CCUACGGGGGGCAGCAGUGGGGAAUAUUGCACAAUGGGGGAAACCCUGAUGCAGCGACGCCGCGUGAGCGAUGAAGGCCUUCGGGUCGUAAAGCUCUGUCCUAAGGGAAGAAAAAUGACGGUACCUUAGGAGGAAGCCCUGGCUAACUACGUGCCAGCAGCCGCGGUAAUACGUAGGGGGCGAGGGUUAUCCGGAAUCACUGGGCGUAAAGGGUGCGUAGGCGGCCAAUUAAGCCAGGGGUGCAAGGCUACGGCUCAACCGUAGUAAGCCCUUGGAACUGAAUGGCUUGAGGACAGGAGAGGGGAGUGUAAUGCCUAGUGUAGCGGUGAAAUGCGUAGGUAUUAGGAGGAACACCAGUGGCGAAGGCGACUCUCUGGACUGUAACUGACGCUGAGGCGCGAAAGCGUGGGGGGCAAACAGGAUUAGAUACCCCUUUAGUC
rnacentral:rRNA from 1 species